GAUGUCGUUUUGAAUUACUCAACUCAUUCUCUUCCCCAAAUUUCAAUCAUUUCGUCGUCUCUCCCCUCUCGACACUCUCUAUUGCGAAAUCAGAGAUUGAAACCCUAGAGUAUCCGUCUUCGUUCUUCCUUGUUCGUUCUCCAUCUAAUUUGAAAAUUCAUCUUCGUUCUUUCUUGUUCGUUCGUGUCUCAACUAUCUCUUUGUCACUCUUGUCUGAAACCCUAAAGUCUAGACCGCUUUGUUUCUUCUUCCUUCUUUAUCGAAAUCGAGGCUCCAUCUUCGUUCCUUGUGGUAAGUGAUUAGUUUCCCUUUAUUUGGUUGUUAUUUGGUCGAAUUUGUAUGCAGAUUUGAAAAUAAAUUUGGGAAAAACUUUGAAUGUGUCUUAUGUUUAGAUAUUGGCUUUGAAAUUGGAUAAAAACUUGGUAAAUCUAUUGUUUAUGUAUAUAUUACAUCGAAUCUGUAUGUAGACUGAUGUGUUUUUUGUGUGUUUCCGAUUUGAGUGAUAAAAUUGAAUUUAGAGUGAUUGAGUGUAAACUUUGAAUGUGUCUUAUGUUUUUGUGCGUUUAGAUUUAAUAUUUGUUAAUAAAAUUGUAUUGGAGAAACUUAGUUGAUGUUGUGUUGUUGUUUUGCGGUUUGAAAUUAGAGUGAUUAAGUGUUGUAAUGUCUUGUACAUGAAAGUUAUGAAGGGAAAUCAAAAGGGAGACGCCAAUGAAAGGCGUCGUCAAUCUCUUAGAAUCCGAAAACCGGACUCAAUUGCAAAAAAGCCAGAACCGAGAGUUCACAAGAGCAGUAAGAAGACUAAGAAGAGUAGGAGUAAGAAGAGUAGGCCAGUGGGAGAGCCAGUGAGAGCACCGAGUGUAGAAUCGCUCUCAGCCUCAGAUGAGUCCGAAAGGGAGGGGUCCGAGAGAGAGAGAGGUAUAUAUUUUGAUUCAUUGUUAGUAGUACUACUAGUACUUCUUGUAUUACUAGCAUUACUAACAUGUAUAAAUGUAUUUUGAUUGCAGGAAAUGCAAACAAUGCAACCUCUUGAGUUCUACUUCAAAAGCAGUGAGUUCCCCAAGAGUUCCAAGAUACAAACUAAGUGUUUUGUGACCAAGACAGUAAAGCUCAUCAAGGGUAAGCCUGAGUCUGAAUGGUUCACAAGCCAUUUUCAGUUUCGACAUUUCUUCCACAUGCCAGAUGAAGAUAACCUGAAGCUCCAGGGGAUGUGGAUGUUACUCUUGCGCACCAUCUGUACUCUAGAAGAUGAUGUUGCAUGGUUUGCGAUUAAUGGUGUACCCAUCCGCUAUUCUAUGAGGGAGCAUGCCCUCAUCUCUGGCUUAGACUGCGGUGAUUAUCCACCAAACUAGGAGAAGUUGGGGGGUUAUAAGUUUGUGGAUUAUUACUUCUAUGACAGAAAGAAGAUCACCAUCAGUGAUGUGAUGCAGAAGAUGUUGUCUAUGCCUCCGUGUCCAGAUAGAUUGAAGAUGACCGUCUUGUUUUUUUUUGGUUGGGUUAUCAGAGGAAAGCUGAAGGAUGAUGGACAUUUAGACCUCUUCAUAUUAAGGAUGAUGGACGAUUUAGAUGCUUGCAGAUCAUUUCCCUGGGGUCGUCUAACAUUUGAGGAUGCAAUAAAGGAGAUUAGCACGUGAUGAACCAUCUGAAGGGUGAAGUGAAAGAGGCAUGCACCUUUCCUGGUUUCAUAAUUCCUUUAGAGGUAAAGCAUAUAGUUUAGUAGAUUUUUAGUUGUUAUAUAAUUGAAAUCUGACACUGUGACAAUGGAUAUACUAGGUUUUGGCUUGAGUGUAUUCCGGAUCUGGGGAAAACGUUUAGAAUCUAUUCAGACGAUGCUAGUGAAGACUGUCCAAGGAUGUACACGAGCCGGUUUACAAAGUCCAGUGUUAGGGGUUAUCUUUUGGAAGACAUAUAUGUUACGGUUGGGGACACAAAGGUUAUCAAUAGUGUGUUAGUUCCAACUAUUGGUGAGCAAAUUAUGCUGGCUCGUAUUAUUGAUGAGGAAGGAGAGUAUGACCGCCAGGGCAGCCCAAGUGAUACUUAGAACUACUGGUUAAAUGUGAAGCAAAAGAAUAUUUGGUGGAAACAGCUAUAUGAGUUAGAUCAAGCUGCACGAGGAGUAUUGCCAAAAAAGAAAGACAAAGAAAAGGUGACGUUUGCAGAAGGAUCAUCCUCUAAUUCUGGUUUAGAUUCGAGGUUGCAAGGUAUGGAAGAGAGGAUUUUGGAGUUCAUGGGAGAAGGAUUUGUUGGACUUCACAUAACGAUGGAGACAAAGCUGGAGUCUCUAGGCUCAAGGAUGAGUGAUAUUGAAAAGAACCAGCGGCUUUUGAGAAGAAGGACUAAGAAAAUAGAAGACAUGCUAACUUCUAUUGAGAGUAAGAUGGAGCCGAGUCUUGAUGAAGACAUGGAUUUUCGACAGUGGGACUGCAGUACACAUGAAGAGAAGGACAAAGCUAAUGCUGAGUAAGAGGCUGAGAGAAAAAAUGAAAAAAAUGAUGAAGAAGAAGGUGAAGAGAAAGAGGCUGAUGACAAUGCUCAGCAAAAGGGUGAGAAAGAGAAGGAAAAUAUCGAGCCUGAUGAGCAAGACAAGGAAGACAGUGAGAGUGAGACUGAUGAGUUCAAUUGAAGGAGAGAAGUAGAGCACAAGCUGAUAAACUGUGGAAGGAAACUGAAGAAGCGGAUGAAGAAGAGGUUGGAGGGAAACAUGAUGAAGAAGAAGGUGAAGAGAAAGAGGCUAAAACCAGUGAGAAAGAGAAGGAGAACAGUGAGGAUGAUGAGAAAGUUGAAGAAAAAGUGGUGGAAUUUGAGGCUGAAGGCGAAGACGAUCAAGCGUUGAAGGGAAAGAAGAUCAAGAAGAAGAAGUUGAAGAGAGAGAGAGAGUCUGAAAUCAGGGAGCAAGAAAAGGAGAAAAGUGAGACUGAUGAGGUGGAAUUUGAGGCUCGAGAGGCAGAGAUAGAAAAAGGAACUCCGACAGAGGGAACACCCAAAUAUGAUCACAAUGAGUCUCGGGUUGAGACGAAUAUAACCAAUCAAACUCUAACACCACUACGUGGUAGGACUAAGGCAAUGGCUGCAAGGAGACUAAUGACAAGGCAUAUGGAGGAAGAACCUGAAAAAUGUGAGAAAGUUGUGGAAGAAGAGAAAAAAAAGGGAGAGGCUGUGGAAACAGAGGAAAAAAUCACGGAAAAAGUUGCGGAAGAAAAGAAAAAAGAGGAAGAGGCUGUAAAAGUUGUUGAAUAACAGACUGGGAAAGUUGUCAAGGAACAGGCUGUGGAAACAGUGGAAAAAAGCAGGGAGAAAGUUGUGGAAGAAGAAAAAAAAAAGAGGAAGAGACUGUGAAAGUUGUUGAAGAACAGACUGGGGAAGUUGUCAAGGAACAGGCUGGGGAAGUUUUUGAGGAAUAUACUGAGGAAGAAAAGCAAAGGUGGAUCAUGGUCGUUUACAAGGAAGCACCGAGUCUUUGGAUCAUGCAUAGGUGCAAGGAGAAUACCGCUGUUGUUGUACCUAAGAAGAGUGGCAGACCAAAGAGGAAAUCACAGUGGGUACAGACUCCUUUCACGGAGGGAAAGAAGCAUUAAACAAAGCCUUAGGCUUAUGUAUUUAUGAUUUUAUGUUUAAAACUUGUUUAAAACUUGUUUGUAAAAUGUAUUUGAAUGCUUAAAUCUUGGUAGUAGAAUGCUUAAAUCUUGGUGUGUUGCAACAGGUUUGGAAAAAUAAGUUUACAAGUGUUACUAUACCCAAAAAUGAGUAAGAUGGAUAACUACAUUUACCAGGUUUAUUAUGCCCAAAAAACACUAAAAAAGAUAUACCAAAAACUAGUAAACACAUGUAAAACACUAAAAUAUAUAAAUAUUAUUACUGGGUUUAUUAUCUAUGAUUUUAUUUGAAAACUAUUACAUAUUAUGUUUUUGUUAAAUCUCUUUAUACAUUAUAUUCAUUAUUACUAAAUAAAUUUAGAAAUAACUCGAUAUUCUCUUUUCAAUUAUAUGAAAUUAAGAAUUUUGUUUGAUUCAUAUUUAGUUGUGUGUUUUCUAUUUUUGAUUUAUCAACUUUUUUUUUAAAAGAUAUAUUUUGUACAACAACACACUAUAUAGAAAUUAUCUAUUUAUUUUAAAAUAUAUUUUUUAUAUUUUGGAUAUAUCUUAUAGUUAUUAAUUUUAAUAAUAGAUUUAAUCAAAUAAGUUUUAAAUCCUUUUUUAUUUUUGGCAAAUUUAUAUUUAUUCAUUAAAGGUGUAAAUGAUAUUAACCACUAUAAUUUUAACGGGAGAUAUUCGUUGCGAAAAAUCACUUCGCAAAAAUCUCUUUGUGCAUUAUAUUCAUUUUUACUAAAUAAAUUUUAGAAAUCACUCGAUAUUCUCUUUUCAAUUACAUAAAAUUAAGAAUUUUACUUGAUUCAUAUUUGGUUAUGUGUUUCUAUUUUUGAUUUCUUAUUUUUUUAAACAUAUUUUUGGAUAACAACACAAUAUAUAGAAUUAUUUUUUUUUAUUUUAAAAUGUAUUUUCAUAUUUUGGAUAUAUCUUACUGUUAUUAAAUUUAAUAAUAGAUCUAAUCAAAUAAAUUUUAAACCUUUUUUUUUAGUUUCAGCUAAUUUAUAUUUAUUCAUUAAUGGUAUAAACGAGAUUAACCACUAUAAUUUUAACGGGAUAUUUUCAUUGCGAAAAAUCACUUGGAAAAAUCUCUUUGUGCAUUAUAUUCAUUUUUACUAAAUAAAUUUUAGAAAUCACUCGAUAUUCUCUUUUCAGUUAUAUAAAAUUAAAAUUUUACUUGAUUCAUAUUUGGUUAUGUCUUUCUAUUUUUGAUUUCUUGAUUGUUUUUAUUAAAACAUAAUUUUGGAUAACAAAACAAUAUCUAGAAAUUAUUUUUUAUUUUAAAAUGUAUUUUUCAUAUUUUGGAUAUAUCUUUCUGUUAUUAAUUUUAAUAAUUUAUCUAAUCAAAAAAAUUUUAAAUUCUUUUUUGGCUAAUUUUUAUAUUUUAUUCAUUAAGAGUAUUUACAAUAUUAACCACUUUAACUUUUAACGUGAAAGCUGCGUUGCAAAAAAUCACUUUGCAAAUAAUAGUAUAGAUCGUGAUUUUUGGUUUUGAAAAGAAUAUAUAAUAUUGUGAUAUUACAUUUUAAAAAGAUUUGUUUCAAUUUUUAAAUUAGUUAUUUUGAUCCUUUAUAAAUUAGGAUCUAAUUAAGAGCGCCAUGAAUACUCACUCCUUCAUUGUGAUAAAAAAAAUUAAGCUAAACUUUAAAAUUCAUUUAGGUGAUCCAUUUGAAUAUUAUUUUAAUUGUAUUAAAUAAACAUCAAAUUU